UGGGGAAUAUUGGACAAUGGGCGCAAGCCUGAUCCAGCAAUGCCGCGUGUGUGAAGAAGGCCUUCGGGUUGUAAAGCACUUUUAUCAGGAGCGAAACGCUGUCGGCUAAUACCCGGCGGAACUGACGGUACCUGAGGAAUAAGCACCGGCUAACUUCGUGCCAGCAGCCGCGGUAAUACGAAGGGUGCAAGCGUUAAUCGGAAUUACUGGGCGUAAAGCGUGCGUAGGCGGUUUCUUAAGUCUGCUGUGAAAUCCCCGGGCUCAACCUGGGAAUGGCAGUGGAUACUGGGAGGCUAGAGUGUGUCAGAGGGUGGUGGAUUCCCGGUGUAGCGGUGAAAUGCGUAGAGAUCGGGAGGAACAUCAGUGGCGAAGGCGGCCACCUGGGACAACACUGACGCUGAAGCACGAAUGCGUGGGGAGCAAACAGGAUUAGAUACCCUGGUAGUCCACGCCCUAAACGAUGCGAACUGGAUGUUGGUCUCAACUCGGAGAUCAGUGUCGAAGCUAACGCGUAAGUUCGCCGCCUGGGGAGUACGGUCGCAAGACUGAAACUCAAAUGAAUUGACGGGGUCAUAGCUGUUUCC
rnacentral:rRNA from 1 species